UGACCUCGGAUCAGGUAGGGAUACCGCUGAACUUAAGCAUAUCAAUAAGCGGAGGAAAAGAAACCAACCGGGAUUGCCUCAGUAACGGCGAGUGAAGCGGCAAGAGCUCAAAUUUGAAAGCUGGCUCCUUCGGAGUCCGCAUUGUAAUUUGCAGAGGAUGCUUUGGGUGCGGCCCCCGUCUAAGUGCCCUGGAACGGGCCGUCAGAGAGGGUGAGAAUCCCGUCUUGGGCGGGGUGUCCGUGCCCGUGUAAAGCUCCUUCGACGAGUCGAGUUGUUUGGGAAUGCAGCUCUAAAUGGGUGGUAAAUUUCAUCUAAAGCUAAAUACUGGCCGGAGACCGAUAGCGCACAAGUAGAGUGAUCGAAAGAUGAAAAGCACUUUGAAAAGAGAGUUAAACAGCACGUGAAAUUGUUGAAAGGGAAGCGCUUGCAACCAGACUCGCCCGCGGGGUUCAGCCGGCAUUCGUGCCGGUGUACUUCCCCGUGGGCGGGCCAGCGUCGGUUUGGGCGGCCGGUCAAAGGCCCCUGGAAUGUAGUGCCCUCCGGGGCACCUUAUAGCCAGGGGUGCAAUGCGGCCAGCCUAGACCGAGGAACGCGCUUCGGCUCGGACGCUGGCAUAAUGGUUGUAAACGACCCGUCUUGAAACACGGACCAAGGAGUCUAACAUCUACGCGAGUGUUCGGGUGUCAAACCCGUGCGCGCAGUGAAAGCGAACGGAGGUGGGAGCCCCCUCGUGGGGCGCACCAUCG
rnacentral:ncRNA from 1 species